ensembl:lncRNA
UUGGGCCGCUCCCGCGGCAUAUGGAGGUUCCCAGGCUAGGGGUCGAAUCGGAGCUGCAGCCGCCAGCCUACGCCAGAGCCACAGCAACGCGGGAUCCGAGCCGCGUCUGCAACCUACACCACAGCUCACGGCAACACCGGAUCGUUAACCCACUGAGCAAGGGCACCGAACCCGCAACCUCAUGGUUCUUAGUCGGGUUCGUUAACCACUGCACCACGACGGGAACUCCGUAUAUCAUUAAAUUUCUAGUCAACCAAUGAAAUUGAGAUACAUGGUAAUAGUAAAGAUGAUAAUGACCAGAGUUAUAAUAGUCACAGUGUUUCGGACGCCCGUUUGUACCAUUUAGGGCUUUCCUUUCAUUCUCCCUAAAUCUUCCUCUAAGGUGGGGUUAGUCCCCCCCAUUACUCGGCUAAGGAAACUAAGGAUCAAAGUUUGGAUGAGUUCAAUAACGCUGCUAGCAAAGACCAGAACUGGAUUUCAACCUGGUUUUGACAAAGCCCACAUCCUUUUCCCUACACUGCACAGUGGCAGAGACUGUAGGAUGCUCACCGAAAUCCAGUUCCUCUUCUUCCCGGACACAAAUCUAGACAUUUCCCAGUCUCCCUGGCAGUGACAGACUCUCCUUGACCAAACUUUCAUCUUCCCAACUAGGCCUUGACCUCUGGGCUCCCAUGUUCUUCUAUGCAUGGCCCAGUUCUAGCAAGAAUCCUGCUAAAGUCAGUUUAGCAAGAAUGCCCACCCUCGAUAUCUGAUCCCUCUCAAUAGCCAAUCAAAUUCUUCAUCCCCGAUCUUGGUAUCCAAUCACCCGGCCUGCCUUCGGCAAGAAUCCCAUCAAAUUGGUUGAGCCAGGGCCCCCCAUCUUUCUCCUUGGCUACCAAUCCCCACUGUCCUAAAUGUAUGUGGGACAGAACCCGGUUGUGUACUGAGGUCUCUUUUCCCCUAAUGCAAGAAUUCCUGAAGAAAAUCUGUUUCUCCCACAACUAUGCACCCUGGUUUCCUUUGACCAUGAUUAAGUGUGACCAUGUGCCCGAGUUCCACCCACUGAGACUGCGACGUGGGCAGAAGGGGACCUGUGUGCUCCCCCUCACUCUUUCCUCUUCCGUGACCUGGCUGGUGAAGAUGCAGAGACCCCCACGGGGCAGCAGGGCCACAGGCGGGAGAACCAUGAGGCCCUCAGUGUCACCCUACCAAACUGAAUAACUCUACCAGGUGUCAUAAGGGCAAGGCCUAGGGUGCCAUUAUGUUGAGCACCUAUGUAUCUGGGGCUGCUUGUUACAGCAUCUCAGCCUAGUCUGACAAAUACACACAGUGAAUAAAGAAAGUCAAGACCAAGACCAAGCCAAAUGCUUUAGGCUCCGAGAUUGCUUUGUGUUCACAGCCAUCACCGAGCACCUCCAAACAUCAGGCACUGAUCUAGGGGAUAGGAAUACACUGACCACGGGGACAGAACCUACCUGUGCAGUGGAGAACCCCUGGCCCCCCACGGUCAAGUAUUUGAGUCAAAGCCAGAGACAGUGCAGAGCAAAGGACAUAUGAUAAGUUUUCACUGGUAUCAGGACAGAAGGGGGGGCUGGGGAAAGGAAGGGUGGGUUGGGACAGGGCAGGGGACAGUCUUUUCCCAGGGAAGGUUGGCAAGAGCCCCCUACUGGACAACCCCAGAGAAAGCCCAGGAACAUGACCUCCAGAUAAAAGCAGCCUUUCCUGCCAAGAGCCAGAAGGACAGAAACAAGACAGAGAAGAGACUGAUUCACUCCCUCACGUCUGUGUCUCUACCCCUCUGCCACUGAGGCUGGCACUGGCACACACGCUCAUAUUCUUCCAGGCGGAGAAAACACACACACACAACCACUACCUCUGUCCUCCAAUGCUCAGCGUUCAGCACCACAAACAAGUCAGGCUCUACAUGAACAUCCAUAUGUCCAGAGGGUCCUCUGUUCUCCUGAGGACACAGAAGCAGCAGCCACUUCUGCAGGGAGGGUGAGGCUUCGUGGUGGGGCUCGUAAUUGACUGGAUAUUGAAGUGGGGCUCCAAGUCCAGUGGGCGGGGAGUGGGGGGGGCAGGGACAACCAAAGCACUUCCAGGCCAAGAGAUCAGGGGGAGAAAAGGCCUAGGGGGGUGGAGGCUGGCCGGGGAGCAGAGGGCGAUUCUAAGGGCCUUGGAUCCUUUGCCAGGAUGUGAGUGGGGAUGAGAAUCAUGAGCACGCCGACCCCACGGCCUGUUGCCCCACCAGAGGCGCCCCACGCCUCCGUCUCUUGCACAUGAUGUCACCCAUUUAAAUGCGAGGAGGAACCACAACAAAUCCUCCACAGAUUUGCUCUGUACUAAUCCACAAAGGUCUCAGGAGGGAUCCAGAACUAUCUUCCGGGAGGGCAGACACUAUAGCAGAGAAGGAGGGACAGAAGAAAGGGAGAGCAGUGAGAGGGUGAUGGAAAGGCCAGCGACACCCGGCUCCCAUGGCAAGGACCCGCCAGCCUCCCUCAGUCGCAUGUGCCAGGGCCAGGGGCAAACAGAAGAGCUCCUGCUUGGCGCAGUGCAGGUGUGCAUGACUGCCGACCUCCACGCUAUUUGUCCUUGGCUCAAAAACAGAUUCUUGCUCGUCUGGUGGAGAGAAGGCUGCCCUGGAGGCUCAGGGUGCAGUGGAAGGAGCGGGCACCGCGAGGUCAGACCAGGGCUGAUCCCAGCACCACCCCAAGUGGCCAUGUCCCCGGCAUCCACUUCCUCACCUGCAAAGGGCACAGCACCGUCUCCACUGGGCACUGCUGCAGGUACUAAGAAAACUGAUACAGAAGCUUCUAACCAGCACCCUCCCCUCCCUCCGCAGGAGGAGAGUGAUACUUGGGAAGAACCUCUCUUCUUCCUUCAUCUCGACGUGGUCUGAAUUUGGUUCAACUCUGCAUCUUCCUCCUCAGUGGGGUUGAAACACAUCAUUGGUUACCUAAUGGCCCAUCAAGCCAUGAGGCCUUUAUUAAACAGCAGCGUGAGACCGAGGCCACAAGGAUCAGAAUCUGCCCCCGCUGCUUUGGUGAAGACCGCUGCCUCCUGGGCCUCCGUCUCCACUUCAGGGGCUCAGGGAAGGGGCACUGUUGCUCUAAGGGGGACACAGCAGAUGGUGGCUGGCAGCCUGAGGCCCUGCCCCGCUCUGAAGGAUAGCAGUCCCUGGGGAGAAGCCACCUCUUCCCGCACUGCCACCCACCCAGCCCUGUGUCCUGGGGACAGGAGAGCGCCUUGGCAUCCACAAAGGCCUGGGCAUGGGUCUCAGUCCAGCCUUAGCUGCCUCAUCUGUAAAAUGGGGCUAAGGACAGAGACCCGACUCGCCUUAGGGGGCUGGUGGGAGGCCCAGUAAAGCACAGAGGCACUUCCGUUGUCACUCUGCAGAGAGGGCUAAUGCACCUACCCUGCCAUCCCCUCACAAAGUGCCAUCUCAGCGCUGACCCUGCCCAGCCACUCGCCAGAAGCUGGACUUGACCUGGAGGCACCUCUCCCUGCCCUCAGGGGGGGUUUUCCCUACUUCCAGUUCACCCCUCUAAAUACACUGUCCACACACUGCAGGGGGCUCUAACAUACAAAUGUGGCUUUUGUCUCUCUCUCUCUCUCUCUCUCACACACACACACACACACACACACACCUGUUUACAUCCUUGCGGUGGCUCCCCAGCUCUCAGUGUACUAUUCAAACCUGUUAAUAAGGUCCUACCACCCUGCUCCUGCCUACCUCUCAGGUCACAGCAUCCCUCACUCUCCCCUUCUCAAAUCCUGUUUUCAGAUGGAGUAAAACGUUUGCAUCCCCCAGUUCCCUGUGCUCUGGCUUGCCACCAUGCCACUGUGCCUGCUGAGCCCUGUCUGAAUACUUGUCCUGCCUCCGCCCCUCAAAACCUUGCUCGCCCCUCUCUUCCUUCCAGACACAGCUCAGAGGCCCCUGCUCUGAGAGGCCCUCGCCGAGCCCUGAAGCUGAGUCAGCUGUACCCCGCCCCAACACUACUUCUCCCCCACUGGAUUGUAGUAACCAAAGAGCAAGCUCCCUGAUGGGAAGGACCUGAAGGAGUCGUUUCUUUGACCGCCCAGUGCUCAGUGGCGUCCAGGGCUCAGUGGCGUCCAUGGCAUGAAAUAAGGGUUCAAGAAAUGUUUGAGGAGUGAAUGAAAAAAAAUCACUUCAACCAACAGCUAUCAAAAGCUUUUUACACAGCAUUCCAGGCAUUGUGCACUGGAGUGUGAGGACCCAGUAACAAACAAGGCAGAUAUGGCCCUUGCGCCAGUUGAACUUAAAAUCAGGUGGGAAAGAAAGAAAAUUUAACCAGCCACAAAAGAAAGCAAUGCAUGCUAUGCGAGCAGAGACAUGAACACAGAAGACGUAGGCAGGAGGAGAGAAGAUCAGCAGCGUUCGUCUAAAAAGUGAAACAACUCACCAAUCGGGAACUCAGCUAACUCACGUAUCCAGAAAGUAGCAGGAACUCAGAAAGAAAGGCUUAGAGGCUUCGAACAGGCAAAACCACGCACCUUACUCACCUGACUGCCUCUCCCACACACCAGCCUUUUGCCAGUACCUCCGGUUGCCCUCGUCCGGCCUCCCUCUGUCUUCCAGCACAUUGUGUGCAUAAUUCUAGUAGAACUCUUAGAAUCUGGCACUGGAAUCAUCAGUUAUGUCUGCGGCCCCAAGGCUGGGUCCCCCGAGGCCACCACAUGUGGCUUUUUAGGUCACACACGGGGUGCAGUGAUCCUGUCCACAUGCAGUCAUCUGUAAUAGUUGGAGCACUUUCCAUAUUUUAUAAUGAUAUUUUUGACUCUACAACAAAUGGAUUAUUGAUGAUAACCAGUAUUAGUUCUUUUUUUUUGGCGUAUGAAAAUUUAUUACUAUCCUGCUUUUACCAUCAAAACUUAUGAACUUGGUCGGUCCUCCUUGCCUUUGUAUAAGGCCAAAAGAGGGAACUGUAAUGGGACCCCAAACUUUCUUUUCCUGGCUACUUGGACAACCUUAAAGCAGACUCCGGGAAUGUCAUCAACAGCAUGACCUUUGCAACCAAAUCCAGCAACCAGACCGACAUCAUUUUCCUCAAUGAAGUUCAAACAACCAUCAUUGGGUACAAAGGCUGAAAUUUUUUCCCCAUUCUUGAUUAGCGGAAACCUGACACACUUCCUGAUGGCAGAAUUUGGCUGUUUGGCUUCAACCCCUACUUUUUCAAGCACGAUUUCCUUGGCAUGAGAAGAGCCUCCAAAAGGGUUGGCCUUCAGGGCUGUGCCCAAAUGGGCUUUCUUGUAUUUAUCGUGCCACUUCUGGCCCCGUCGGUGGCUAUGGGGCUAUGGAGCUUCCUGGCAGUACGAAGACCGAGACACUUGCCUAUCCUGCAGGCACCACAGGUCUGAGCCGACAACAAGUAUUAGUUCUAAUGUUUACAUAUUAUCAUAAUAAAAGCACUUGUUGAUUUAAACUGGGAAUUCAGAAAUACCCUGGUUUGGUAAACAAACAUCAUCAGUGCUUUGGUUUAGGCCAUUUUACAUUUACAAUGAGAAUUUUCUGGCAUGUGGUUGUCAAGUGUCUCACUUUUACAAGACAAUAUAUAUUGUUCCCCCUUUGACAAACUGUAUUAUCAAGACUGUGUUGAUCUAAUAACACCUAAAACAGACUAUUUCUAAAUAGGAUCUGCUUUUAUAUCCGAUGUAUGAUUGGCGACUACUUUCAACUGAAAAAAAAUCCUUAAUUAGUAUUAGCACAUAAUUAAAUCUGAAGUUCAUAUUGUAGUUCAAUCGUCUGAUGUUUGUUUGCUGGGCCAGAACUUCUGAAUUCCAAGUUUAAAUCCAUAAGUACUUCAUUAUGACACCAUGUAAAUAUUAUUUAACAACUAAUAUUCAUUUGUCCUUAAUAAUCCAUUGGCUGUAACAAGUUUGUUGUUGAAAUGGAAAUAAUAUAUGGACUGAGUUAAUAUCUGUUCUUUGAGGACGGGGCACAUUUUUCUAAUUCACACAAAGGGACAGUAUGGGCCAGUACUGAUCCUGGUUCAAGGACAGGGACUGUGUCUGACUGUUUUUUUUAUUGCCAGGGUCUUGCACAGGGCGUGGGGCUCAGGAGACAUUCAGCACAUGUUUGUUUCAAUGAAGAUCUUCAAGGCCUCAGAAUUUAAAAUCAUAUAUGCAUGCUUCAUUUCACUGUACUUCCUAGAAAUAAUUCUACACAUUCUAAUGGAAAAGUCAUACAUACAGUCCUAAGUGACCAGCUGAAGCUUAUCAAAACGUCACCCAGAGGGGACACUUUGCCUCUCUUUCUGUUCCCUAGACACAGAACAUUUUUUCCUGAAAAGAGUGCCUGAUGAGUCAGAAGUUUCCACAGUUAUAACAAACAUACCAUUAGAGGAGCCUCUUUGCAACCUUCCUAGAGAGAAGAUGGCAUAAAAAUCCACUAAGAUGGUAAGGCUUUGUGGAGGUAGCUUCAAAUACUAGCUUGAGCUUCCUUAAGAAAGGGACAAGUUAAAGGCUAAAGAAAGCUAUGCUAUCAUGGAAAGUAAACCCAGCCAAAAUCUAAGGCUUGCCAGGGCUUACAAACAGCUGGCUCUCUAUUUCUGGCUUGGGCUUCGCAAUGCCAGAGACAGGAUGGGUUUAUUGCC